AUGGAGCUAGCAAUAUCUGCAGUAACAGGUGAGCUCGUGAGCCGAUUCGUCUCCUACCUCGCUGACAAGUACCGCUCGAGCCGCCGUGCAGAGUCAGGAGAGACACAGUUGAGGAGGCUGCAGCAACUCCUCCCCAGAGCCCGCUCCGUCGUUGAGGAGGCAGAUGGGCGGUACAUCACCAACUCCGGGAUGCUGGCGCAGCUCAACAUGCUCACGGACGCCAUGUACCGAGGCUACUGGGCGCUAGGGGCCUUUGGGUACAUGUCCCUUGAAGAGACAGAGACUAGUCCCAUGGAGGUUAGCAGCUCAUCUCCCCGCAAACGUCUCCGCACGGUUCAUGGCAGUGCUAGGAAGAACAAGGCCAUGUACCUUGCCGACCUUCAAGGUGUGGUGGAGAGCUUGGAGGAUGUCGUUGCUGGCUUGACGGAGUUUGUUGUUCUUUUGAGUGGAUGCGACCGUAUGCUGCGUCGACCAUAUGAUGCGUAUCUUUACAAUGACACCAUCAUGUUCGGACGCCACACCGAGAAGCAAAAGCUCCUGAACUUCAUGUUGCAGCACAGUUCAAGCUCGCCUGGUGGAACGCCGGCUGUUCUCCCGAUCAUCGGUGCUCCCGCGGUCGGGAAGAGGACUCUGGUGGCCCAUGUAUGCAAGGACGAGAGGGUCAGCUCACAUUUCUCCUCGAUUCUGCACCUGAAUGGAGACUCCUUCCGCAGAAUCGCAGACCAUGACCGGAGCUUCUUGCGAGGGAAGAUAGUGGUCGUUCUUGAGCUUGUCGCAGACGUCGACGAGAAGGAUUGGGCCGAGUUCUGCUCAACCUUGGCAAGCAUGGAUAGUGGAAGCAAGGUGAUCAUCAUCAGCCGGCUUAGAAGUACAGAGCGAUUCGGGACAGUGCGGCCGAUCUUCCUUAACACCCUGUCAUACGAGGAGUUCAGCUACCUCUUCAAGACACUCGCAUUCGGGAGCGCGAACCCGGCGCAUCACCCGCAGCUGGCACGGAUUGCAGAUGAAUUGGCCGAGGAGUUCCGCACGGAAUGUUCGCUCGUCGGCACAAACAUAUUCGCGGAUGUGAUGAGGAGGAAUCUGAACGUCCAUUUCUGGCUCGGCAUGCUGAGCAGGCUGAGAAGAUUUGCUGAGAGGAACGUCUCCAUGUUUGGGGAACACCCGAGGUUGCUCGUCGAGAGACGCCAUCAGAUAGAUGUUACGGACUUCGUCUUGCAUCCUGCUGCUUCUCCGCUCCGCAUCGUGCCUUCCUGCACCAGUGGCAGCAGCCGCACUGAGGUUACAGCGGAGAGGGCAUCGCUGCCGAGGGUGAGGCUUGGAGAUCUUGUGAUGGAUCCUGGAGUUCGGCCGCAAGGGGAUUUCAAUGUGGUUUCCUGGGAAUCAAGGUUGCCUCCUUACACUUCAUUUGUACAUUUUGUUCCAAAUGGAAAUUGUGCUCCAGGUUUGGCGAAACAGAGUACUCCCCUGUCUGGGAGGAAGCGUCCAGCAGUUGCUUUGUAA
rnacentral:rRNA from 1 species